CAGCAGCCGCGGUAAUGCGGAGGGUGCAAGCGUUAAUCGGAAUUACUGGGCGUAAAGCGUGCGUAGGCGGUUCGUUAAGUCUGAUGUGAAAUCCCCGGGCUCAACCUGGGACCUGCAUUUGUGACUGUAUAGCUAGAGUACGGUAGAGGGGGAUGGAAUUCCGCGUGUAGCAGUGAAAUGCGUAGAUACGCGGAGGAACACCGAUGGCGAAGGCAAUCCCCUGGACCUGUACUGACGCUCAUGCACGAAUGCGUGGGGAGCAAACAGGAUUAGAUACCCCCGUAGUCCCUGUCUCUUAUAC
rnacentral:rRNA from 1 species